rnacentral:lncRNA from 1 species
CUGAGGCCAAGCUCCGUCAGUAAAUCUCUCAGCAUUCCUUAGGGUGUCUCACUUCCCUCGGGAGCGCGAGGCAGCCAGUAUAAAAGCUCGGCCAUCCCAGGGCUCCUCACUCAACUGACACCGAGCAUCGCGACGUUCCCACCAGCACCGAAGAGUCACUGCUCCAAGAUGUGCUCCAGACAAAGCUCCGGAGGCUGCCAUGGGAUGUCCUCCCAGUCCAGCGGGUGCCACAGCGAGGGCUCCGGUUGCCACGGGAGCGGCUCCUCCAGCUACCAGUCCCAGGGCUCCUCCUGCUGUGGGGGCGGCGGGGGCUCCGGCAAAGUCAUCAUCAGCUCUGGUGGUGGUGGAGGAGGAUCCUGCUGCAGUGGGGGCUCCUCUGGAUACGGGAUAGGAGGGGGUUACAGUGGUGGCUCUUCAGGAUCAAAGAGCAUCAUUGUAGGUGGAGGUAGUGGGGGUUCCUCUGGAUGCUGUAGUGGAGGAUCCAGCUAUGGGUAUGGUGGGUCUUCAGGAUCAAAGAGCAUCAUUGUAGGUGGAGGUAGUGGAGGUUCCUCUGGAUACUGUGGUGGAGGAUCCAGCUACGGGAUGGGCGGAGGAUAUGGUGGGUCUUCAGGAUCAAAGAGCAUCAUUGGAGGUGGAGGUUCCUCUGGAUACUGUGGUGGAGGAUCCAGCUAUGGGAUGGGCGGAGCAUACGGUGGUGGCUCUUCAGGGACAAAGGUCAUCAUUGGAGGGGGAAGCAGUGGAGGUUCCUCUGGAUGCUGCAGUGGAGGAUCUUCAGGAUAUGGCAUGGGAGGAGGGUACGGUGGAUCUUCAGGAUCAAAGAGCAUCAUUGGAGGUGGAGGCAGUGGAGGUUCCUCUGGAUGCUGCAGUGGAGGAUCCAGCUAUGGGAUGGGAGGAGGAUGCAGCAGCGGCUCCUCAGGCCAGACCAUCAUCAUCAGCUCUGGAGGGGGCAGCGGAGGCUCCUCCCAGCAGAAAUGUCCCAUUGUCAUCCCCAGCGUGGUGUCCCACCAGUGCAAGCAGAGCUCCUACUGGCCCUGCCAGCAGAAGUAACAGCCCUGGGCAGCUCCAGUUCUGAGUGUCUGCCACGGCUCCUGUUUACCCCCAGCCCUGGCUCUGCUGCCUGGUCCUUCCCAGUGUGUCCUCUCCUGUCCCCUGGAUGCUGCACCCCCGUGUGAGGUCUCCAGGAUUGCCCUGCUCCUGCUCCUGGUGUUGGGGUGCCUUUGAUAAUGUCCUGCCACUUUUUACAUCCAAUAAAUGUUACAAUUCCUCAAACCA